UACGGAGGGUGCGAGCGUUGUCCGGAAUCACUGGGCGUAAAGGGCGCGUAGGCGGCGCGGAUAGUCGGCGGUGAAAGCCCGGAGCUCAACUCCGGGUCGGCCGUCGAUACUUCCGGGCUUGAGCACUGUAGAGGCAGAUGGAAUUCCGGGUGUAGCGGUGGAAUGCGUAGAGAUCCGGAAGAACACCGGUGGCGAAGGCGGUCUGCUGGGGCAGUUGCUGACGCUGAUG
rnacentral:rRNA from 1 species